GGGGCGGUAGCUCAGCUGGUUAGAGCAAAGGCUUCAUAAUCCUUGGGUCGCGGGUUCGAGCCCCGCCCGCCCCA
rnacentral:tRNA from 1 species